AAUAACACGUGGGUAACCUGCCUGUAAGACUGGGAUAACUCCGGGAAACCGGGGCUAAUACCGGAUGGUUGUUUGAACCGCAUGGUUCAAACAUAAAAGGUGGCUUCGGCUACCACUUACAGAUGGACCCGCGGCGCAUUAGCUAGUUGGUGAGGUAACGGCUCACCAAGGCAACGAUGCGUAGCCGACCUGAGAGGGUGAUCGGCCACACUGGGACUGAGACACGGCCCAGACUCCUACGGGAGGCAGCAGUAGGGAAUCUUCCGCAAUGGACGAAAGUCUGACGGAGCAACGCCGCGUGAGUGAUGAAGGUUUUCGGAUCGUAAAGCUCUGUUGUUAGGGAAGAACAAGUACCGUUCGAAUAGGGCGGUACCUUGACGGUACCUAACCAGAAAGCCACGGCUAACUACGUGCCAGCAGCCGCGGUAAUACGUAGGUGGCAAGCGUUGUCCGGAAUUAUUGGGCGUAAAGGGCUCGCAGGCGGUUUCUUAAGUCUGAUGUGAAAGCCCCCGGCUCAA
rnacentral:rRNA from 1 species